AUAUUGUACAAUGAAGGAAACUCUGAUGCAGCGACGCCGCGUGAACGAUGAAGGCCUUCGGGUCGGAAAGUUCUGUCCUUGUGGACGAUAAUGAUGGUACCCAAGGAGGAAGCCCCGGCUAACUACUUGCCAGCAGCCGCGGUAAUACGUAGGGGGCGAGCGUUGUCCGGAAGUAUUGGGCGUAAAGGGUUCGGAGGCUGGCCUUUAAGUCAGAUGUGAAAGCCCACGGCUCAACCGUGGUAAGCAUUUGAAACUGAAGGACUUGAGUUAAGGAGAGGAAAGUGGAAUUCCUAGUGUAGCGGUGAAAUGCGUAGAUAUUAGGAGGAAUACCAGUGGCGAAGGCGACUUUCUGGACUUAUACUGACGCUGAGGAACGAAAGCGUGGGGAGCAAACA
rnacentral:rRNA from 1 species